AUUUUGAGCUGUACCUUUGAAUUCACUAAGGUCAGUGAAGAAGAGGUGCUCCGGGUGCCAGAGCAGAGAAUCCCCUGCAGCCCGUGGAGAGCAAAAUGGGUGCUGCAGGUUGUCUCCCUGCAGCCCAUGGCAGGCAACAGCACAGCUGAUACUGCAGCCUGUGGAGGACCCUACACUGCAGCGGGCAGACACACCCUAAAGGAAAAUGCAGCCCACGGAGAGGACCCCACACAAAAGUGGGAAACAAAUCUGAAAACUUUUUAAAACAGAGAUAUUCUGUUGGAUCAUGGGAAAAAGUUAAAACAAGCUGGUUGAAAGGUAGGGUGAUAACAGUUUGGCUUUCAAAGCAGUUGCCAUGAGGGAAGACACUCCAAAUAAAUGGUUUAGAAAUCUGAAUGGACAGCAGCACAUGCCAGGAGGAGCAGCUCUACAAAGAAAAUUGCUGCCUUUUCCCUGGGGAGACAUGAAACAGGACAUUCAGUUAAACAGAUGGUUGUUGCCUCUGAAUUAUUUAACAGCUAAAUCAAUGAGAAGCUUCUGCUGCCAUGAGGGGAAAGAGUGUGCUGGAAGCAUUCCUUCUCCUCCACCGUCUCCUGUUAGAAGUGGCCAAGAAGAGUCUGCUAUUGGCAGCAUAAAAGCCUGAAGGGGUGGAAGAGGAGGCUGCAAAAGUGAAACCUGGAUUCUAGAGUUAUCAAAGGAGAGCUUUCUUACUUAAGAAAUAUGUUAAUCCUCUUCAAAUGGUACUGCAUCCAGUUUGAUGCACAUCUAUAGUUACUAGAUGGGUUUAAUGGAAAAGGGCUGUUUAAAAAAAAAAAAAAAAAGGAAAAAGAGAAAAGAGUAACAACAAAAACAAAAGACACCACAACCAAACAAACAAAAAACUAAGAAUACAAACAAAAAAACAACCCCAAACCCUCUCAAAUUCCCAAAAGACAAAAAGGCUAGGUAGCCUGUACUCUAUAGUCUUAUAAGUUUGCAUUAUACAUAAGAUAUAUCUCAUUUAUAAAACACUGUGGGGCCACAGACUAAUUCCUUUGAGUAUGCACUCAACACUGGCCAUAUCUCAGGAAAAACACUGUAAGGCCAAAUUUCUCCAUGUUAUUUUGAGAUGCAGGUGUAUAAUCCAUUGCAAUGCCUAAUUAUUGUCCUACUACAAGAAGGAACCUUUCCGACAAUGCCAUCAGAUUUAUAAAAGCCUAAUAUUUCUUUGAAAAAAU
ensembl:lncRNA